rnacentral:rRNA from 1 species
GUGCCAGCAGCCGCGGUAAUACGUAGGGUGCGAGCGUUGUCCGGGAAUUACUGGGCGUAAAGAGCUCGUAGGUGGUUUGUCGCGUCGUCUGUGAAAUUCCGGGGCUUAACUCCGGGCGUGCAGGCGAUACGGGCAAUACUUGAGUGAUGUAGGGGUAACUGGAAUUCCUGGUGUAGCGGUGAAAUGCGCAGAUAUCAGGAGGAACACCGAUGGCGAAGGCAGGUUACUGGGCAUUUACUGACGCUGAGGAGCGAAAGCAUGGGUAGCGAACAGGAUUAGAUACCCUGGUAGUCC